rnacentral:misc_RNA from 1 species
GCACUGCCUUGAGAGGAAAACAGCUAUCAAUGCAUAUUUGCAUUUCAAGUUAUAUUGAUCUCUUGAAGUACUUGCUAAGGAGUGAAAGUGUUCUACGUUUCUGCAGCUUGCUUUCAUAAGCAAUUCUACUUGUAAUCAAAACAGGUAGAAGAUCUGCGAAAUUGUAGACUUUCUCUAGAUGUAAGAAAUACAAGGCAUAUUUGUUGAAAUGAGAAUUUUCCUAAGUUGCAUAAUGUUAUGGGCCCUUUGCCAUGGCUAAGUCAUUGAAGUUGAAGAGAUCAUAUGAAUAGAUUAGUGAUUAGUCUUCUCCAAAUCUUACUCUUUGCAGUAGAAGCAAAAAGUGGUGUGGCACUCUACUCAACAAGUCAAAUUGAACUUCACUUAGAAAUGAGAUAAAAUUUCUGCAGAAAAAAAUUUUGUCCUUGCUUGAUAAGGAGCUUAUGAAUUGGCUCGUUUCGAGGACUUGAUCUACAUUAUCAAAUGCCAAGCACUUUCUGUAACAUCCAACUAGAUCAUCAUUCAGCUAAUUCUGUUAAUAACUUGUUAUGCUUUAUGCAAUUUAACGGAAACAGCAACAAGUUAUGUCAAGUAAAAUGCAAUGAAGCCUAAAAUCUCUUUUCGUAUACAAUUAAAUUGUCUCUACUGUUAUGUCCAGCAGAAUGAGAUAUAAAUGAGCCUCUACUGUUAUGUCCAGCAGAAUGAGAUAUAAAUGAGCCUCUACUGUUAUGUCCAGCAGAAUGACAUAUAAAUGAGCCUUAGUGAAUGAACAGUUUAUACGUUGCUUAUUUCAGUAGAGAAAUGGUUGUCCUCAUAAAAUUAGCCCCAAAAUGCAACUACAGCUGCCUCUUUUCUCAUAUGAGAUACUAAAUUGUAUGGAUUGAUUGAAAAGCAAUCACUUCACUUGUAUGCAAUUUGUGGCAUCAAUUGCGGAUGUCAGGAACAGGGAGGCCCUUGAUCUGCAUCUGUUUGUACAUCCAUUUCCGGUUCUCUGGGGUCACCUCACCCCCAAGUGAGCGAACAACUGAUCCGCCGCUACAUGCACCAAUUUUGCAGCAUUCCUCCAAAGAUAAUUCCUUCACCAGUCCAUACAAAAACCCACUGGCAAAGAGGUCUCCUGCUCCAGUGGCAUCGACUGCCUUUGCUUCCCCAGUGGCUGGAACCCGGACAGUCUGACACAUUGGGAAAUUUUUAAUAUAAUCCAAUGGUAAAGACAUAAUAAUAAUAUCGAAAUAAAAUGAUAUAAAAUGGGCAACAAUUACAAGUAUCUUAAAUUGGAAAUUGAGAACAGCAUACGUGAUAGUUUUCUAUUUCCCUGGACAUAGUAACAAGUCUAAAGGAAGGCUAACAUUUGAGGAAAGCGUAAUUGAAAAUGAUACCCUCAUGUAUUUCUAGAGGUAAAAGAUGGGGCAAAAAAUUAAGGGAAGGCAUUCUGCCACAGAAAUUUUUGAGCAAUUGAGAAAACUUGUUCAUUGAACAUAACUUCACAUAUGCACAAAAUGGCUCAAAUCUACAAGUAGAUACUAACCUCUUUUCCAUGCUUUGCAAUGCACCCAUUACGACCUAAAGUCACUACAGCCCACUUGCAAUGUUCGGCCAAGAAUUGUAGCGGUGCCUCAGGAUCAGUAUUUUGUUCACCUCCAAGAAGUUCCAUUGCUUCAUCCUCAUUAGCAAAGCAGAGGUCUAUGUCCCCUGACUCUAGCAAUUGAAGGAGAGGUGGUCUGAAGUCUCGAACCAUCUGGCCAAAGUUAAAAGCAUUUAUAUUAAUAUACUGAUAAAGGAAACUUGGGGCUUUGAAAACUGCAGAGGAAAGAAUAAAAUAACGAUCAGUCCCGUAUCAAACAGCCAUGACUCCUUGAUAACAUAAAGAUUACAGGAUAAGUCACUAAGCUACAUUGCAACCAUAAAAAUAUGUUGGAAUUCAACAAUGUAGAUAGAAUCGUAUCCAUAAUAAUUUUUGGCAAUGACUAAAGUGGCCAUUUAUUCCUUGGAUGUUCAAAUUAUCUGAUGUUUGAUAAUGAAGAUGGUAGCUGAAAGACAUGCAUAACAUUGAUAAAAUUAUACCUCAAAACUGGCCAAAUCCAAUGAGACAUAAAGACCCUCCUGCUUUGCAAUCUGAAUUGCUUCUUGAAUAACUUCUAUAUUGAAUUUUCCAUAUCUUAUUACCAGCCACUUGGAGCCCUUAAAAUCUUCCUUGGUCAAUUCAUCAGCCUGAAAAGAACAAAAAUAAUAGAUAUAUUUGAAAUGGCUCAUCUUAAUAAAAAAGCUACAACAAAAUCCUUGAAGGUUAGCAAAGAGCAAAAGUAUUAAGGAUAAACAAAAGAAACAAAGAAACAAACACCUGAACUUUCACAGCACUUGACAGGCAAGGUCGCAUUGUACGAUUGCCCAAUGCAUCAACCAAACAAACACACUGUAACAAACCAGUUACUAAUAAAGCUUCAGAUUUGAGAUUUGAAGCUCCGUAACAAAACAUCCAACACUAUUUCAAUUUUACAGAAUUUGCAAAAUAGGGAUCACCUGACCCGUCGGUCCCUUCUUCCUCCUCAAUUUCGAGAUGUUCACCCCACUAAAGCCCAUAUUACUAGCAAACAACUGGCCUUCCUCAUCAUCCCCAUAAGCCCCAAUAAUCCCACAAGAGACUCCAAAGUUUGCACUAAGACCCCGAAUGGUAUUGGCUACACUGCCCCCAGCAAUUGUUAACAUAGGAGAUGUCUCACCAGGGGAAGUAAGCAUAUGAGUUUUAACCUCUCCUAAAAUUUGCUGAAGGUCUUGAAUUGCA